AGAACGAACGCUGGCGGCACGCCUAACACAUGCAAGUCGAGCGCCCAGCAAUGGGAGCGGCGGACGGGUGAGUAACACAUGGGAAUAUGCCUUUCGGUACGGAACAACUCAGGGAAACUUGAGCUAAUGCCGUAUACGCCCUUACGGGGAAAGAUUUAUCGCCGAAAGAUUAGCCCGCGUCUGAUUAGCUAGUUGGUGAGGUAAUGGCUCACCAAGGCUUCGAUCAGUAGCUGGUUUGAGAGAACGACCAGCCACACUGGGACUGAGACACGGCCCAGACUCCUACGGGAGGCAGCAGUGGGGAAUCUUGGACAAUGGGGGAAACCCUGAUCCAGCGAUGCCGCGUGAGUGAUGAAGGCCUUCGGGUUGUAAAACUCUUUCGACGGGACGAUAAUGACGGUACCCGUAGAAGAAGCGUCCGGCUAACUUCGCGCCAGCAGCCGC
rnacentral:rRNA from 1 species